GAAAGGAAACCCAGUUACAGAUGGAGGAGGCCUGGAGCCCCCAGGAACUCACAAUUACAUAAAACAUCAGCUUAAAGACUCUCAUAGACACCAGAGCAUGCCCAGAGGGAGAAGAACGUGCUUAGAAGCACGUAAGGGCAUUGCCUUCUUAGAGCGAUUUAGGAUGCCUCUGUUGAUUUGCCCGGUAGUAAUUACAGUAUUUAACUGGUCCAGGCUCAUGAAUCACACCUCUAGUCUCUGACAGGCUCCCUAAAUGUAUAGGUUACCGGUUCGGAAAGGUUUAACAAGACACGCUGGAAAAAGCAUUUUCUGUUUCUAUGGGAUUUCUCCCUAGACUAGUUCCAAAAUAUAAUCUAAGAUUUAAGAUCUAGUGUUUAGCUUUUGAAUUAGACUUCCUUGAUUUACUAAUGCCAGUGUUUGAAAAUUAUUGUAAAAAGCUUAUUAUGGAUAUAAAUGUUUCCCUCAAUUUAAUAAGCACAUACACAUUAAGUUGCAUCGUCUUCAGAGAAAGGGGAAAAAGUUCAAAUUUUGAAUUAACAGAAUCCAUAAGAGGCUAUCUCUAACCAUAUCUGGUGAAAAGCUUGGGAGAGGGGAAAGGAGAGGAAGGAGGAAGGAGGUUGAAAUUGUCUGCAGAAAUUUUAAAUAUUGGUUAAAACCACUUAGGCUUCCUACCCCACUAAAACUAAUAUAAUUUUACUUUCUUUAGUCAUCCAUUCUCUGCUAAAUGGGAUAAAAAUGCUGUUUAUUUUCUGCAAUUAUCUUAACUUUACCUCUUAUUGCUAGUCUUGCCCUUCUGGGGGGCUCAGGGGACCACGCCUCUUAUCUAUCAUUGGCAUUGGUCGGUGAAUCUGAAUUUGCCUAAGAAAAGGUUUCGUAAAGAAGGAUCUAGUGUGAUUUUACAGUGUUUAUAACCUUUAGUCCUCAUUUGUUCCAGGAAAGUAUAACUUGCCCUUUUCCAAAAAUGUGGGAGAAUUUAGAUACUUGAAAUUCUGGCGGGAAAAGCAUUAAGCCCUUAAGUAUAGAUCAGCAAUGGGUCAGGAUAAACCAUAGUAACAUUUCCGAUGUCAGUUUUAAGAUGAUUGCAUUGUUCUUACAUUCUGAUUGCACUGACAUCUAUGGCUAGAGUCAGCAUUACUUGCCCAUAUUGUCGAGAGAAUACGGAAAUCUCUUUUUGACUGAGGAAGAGUCACAGCAAGGGAUAAUCCAUAAUAGACACACCCAUUUUAAACAAAGGAACGCAAACCUAUCUACCCAUGUAUGUGAUUUUGUUAUUUUCCAAUGGAGAGAAUUAGAUGGCAUUAAAAACGUUAUUAUGAGUGGUGAGAAAAUGGGUAUGUAUUUCAGAUGAAGAAGUGGAGUAACUUGGGGCUGGCUUUUUGGAAGAUGCAAUUCAGGCUCAAGAUGUAUAGAGAUAUAAAAUUAGUCAGAAAUGAGUUUAUCUUUGAGUGAUGUUUUAUACAAAAGCACCACCUACUGGCAAAGAAUUACUUUCCUUCUCUUAUUAAUAGAUGAGCUAAUGUCAAGAAUAACAAAGGAGAAUUAUUUGUUUCCCUAUUAAGUUUUUCUUUCUCUGGCUUUUAUUAUCUUAUAGAAUCAAAGCGGUUUUAGCAUUUACAUCAAGAUACUACAGCGAGUGGAUAUAAUUUUCAAUCACCUGUUUAUACUUGUAUUUCUUUAUAUUUUUUGUUUUACAGUCUAUAUUAGUAUACUAAUUUUCUAAGAGUUUUAAUUAAGUAAUUUUUAAAUCAAGAAGAUAUUAAAAUGUGUGUGGGGGGAUACCUAUAUUUCAAAAGGAUCCAUAAUGGUGGAAUAUUUUAUCUUGGUUCAAUGUUACUUAAUGAUCCAUUUUGAUGUCAGAAAAAAAUCAUCUUUUGAUUUUUGGAAGAAAGAAUUUUUCUGACUCUGGGUAAGAAAGACCAUUUCACUAAAAUUUAAUGAAAUGUCUACCAUGAAUCACACAACUGUUUAAUAAUGAAUGCCAAUUAGGAGUCUGAAAAUAAAGUGGCAUAUCAAUACAUAUUUUUGUCUGCCCUUUGACAUCUAGAUUGUGUCUUCACAGGCGGGGGACAUGGAAAAUGAAAAAAAAAUUUUGGUGGUGUGAAAUGUGAAUUCAAGGCUUUUUAAAGGUUUGAACACUUCCAGAGUUUAAUGACAGGAGUCAUUUCUAUGAUACAGACAUACCUCAAAACUACCACAAGGGGGCAGAAAUACACAUCUUCUGACCAGAAAACAACAAAAAUUAUUUUUAUACCCAAAUUUAGGUUGUCUCUAUACCAAGAUAAAUCUCAACAGCAAUUUACUCACAGAACUUUCUACCAAAAGAUGGGCUGCAUGAGAUCCUAGGAAAAGAAUGGUGAAAGACUGGUAAGUAAGAGUGAAUAGGAUUUUAUCAGAUGGUUCAUAUGGAGACUUCCUGCAGAGAGAGAAUGCAGGAGAGAUCUCAGAGUCAUGACUAUAUUUGAGAAGAACAAACAUUUCUAUGAAGACGAAACACUGGAUAUUGGUAGAGUAUGAAAUUUUGAGAAGCUGGAAAAGUAGGCUUGGCUAACACAAGCCUCUCAGAUCAUGCUAUUUUAUAUUGAACUUCAUACUACAGAAAAUGAGCAGCCAAAGUUUGUUGGUGAGUGGUGAAGUGACACUGUGAACUCUGUGUGAGGAAAAUAAUAGUGGCAGUGGAAAUGCUAGAUGAAAGGGGGUUAGGGUGCUGCUAGGGGAGCUAGUUAGCAUGCACCUGCCAUGGAACGUGUGAGGGGUGAGGUCUCCACGAGGCAGCAGAGAUGCGAACAUUUACAAGGCAGAGGAGAGUCAUGAACAAAAGAAAAAAAUAAAGUAGAUAAAUCCAAGUUCUAGUCAUGAGAUCUCCAACAGAGUUCCUCCAACCAUACUGAACCUUAGUUUUCUCAAUGCUAAGCAGUUAUUUCAUAAGUUGAAAAAGAGUCAUAAAAGUAAUCUGAAUCAGAACUCCCAUAUACUCACCUGAGGCAGCCAUCACCAACAUGAUGACUGCAAUAUUAAUAAUAACAUACACUUUAUAUAGCAUUAUUUAGCAAUAAUACUAACCACAUACAGCAUACUCAUUAAGUACCCUGAACAGUACUAGUCACCUAGUAACUGCUAUCUAAGUGUUUGCUAUUAUGCAUGGAUAGAAAAGACCUUUAAGUCCUCACAAUGACAACCCUAUGAGGUACUGAUAGUCUCCCUGGGUUACAUAAUGAGAAAAAUGAAGAACAGAGAGGUCCAGUAGCUCGAUAUCAAACAGCGAUCACCUGGGAGAGCCAUGAUUUGAACCCAGCAGUGUGUCCUGAGUCCACACUCUGAAGUACAGCACUCACUGCCCAGCUCCUUGAGAAUCAAACACACUCUGAGAUUUUGAAAACUGCUUUAUGUUAAAUCUCAUUCUAACACUACAGGAAUACAAAGGAAGUGUGAGACCUGAAAGAGACACAAGAUUAAAGUUAGUCCUCUUGAGUCAGAGGUGUUGUGGAAGCUUGAGAAACACCUUACGUGGCUCACUUGGCCGUCCAAAUAGCUGUUCUGGUUCACAAGUUGCUGACCUUAUAUAGGAAGGCACAGAAUGAUGAUGUUCCGAACCAUACUUCUGGUGUCUCUCUGGAUAAAUAAAUAUUUACAAACAGGAAAUACUGGGUUUAGCUACAUGAAUGUCAGAGCAAUUGUUUAACUUUCAGUGUGCUAUUCAAGUAGAUGAUUAAAUAUGCUUUGAAAAAUAGAUUUUGGAGUAUUUUAGUCAAUAUUCUUCUCUCCUGUAAUGGAGGGUAAAGAUGUUUACCUGCCUAUUGUCAA